rnacentral:rRNA from 1 species
AUUGAACGCUGGCGGCAGGCCUAACACAUGCAAGUCGAACGAGUGGCGGACGGGUGAGUAAUGUCUGGGAAACUGCCCGAUGGAGGGGGGUAACUACUGGAAACGGUAGCUAAUACCGCAUACCAUCGGAUGUGCCCAGAUGGGAUUAGCUAGUAGGUGGGGUAAAGGCUCACCUAGGCGACGAUCCCUAGCUGGACUGAGAGGAUGACCGGCAAAACUGGAAAUGGGACACGGUCCAGACUCCUACGGGAGGCAGCAGUGGGGAAUGUUGGACAAUGGGCGCAAGCCUGAUGCAGCCAUGCCGCGUGUAUGAAGAAGGCCUUCGGGUUGUAAAGUACUUUCAGCGGGGAGGCGUUACUCGCAGAAGAAGCACCGGCUAACUCCGUGCCAGCAGCCGCGGUAAUUC